CCUGCUGGCCUACAUUCUGGACGUGGCUGCUUGCUUGUUUCUUCGUGGCACCUUUGUUUUAUUUCUUCUCCCUCCCCCCAGCUUCUGGCGAUGCUCUGGUUUCUGGCUUCCUUCUGUCCCAGCACAGAGACGCACUGCUGCAGACAUGGCAAGAAGCACCCUGUACUGUAAAGGAGUCGCUCAAGCUGGGCCUCUAUAUCGCCCGAGCCCUUUCCUGCAAACACCCAACUCUCUGGGGACACAGGACCACCUUGUGCCACCAGCAGUAUGGCUCCACCACCUCCGAACAGCACCGUACUGAGGGCCACCCCUUUAACACGUGGGGCUGGAGGGGACACUCCAAACCCAAACGCCGAGAGCCAGCAGGUUCCUGGGAUCCAUGAGCAGAUGAACAAUCUCUGAUGCAUUCUCCUUCAAGUCUUCUGACUGUCAGGGUCUUGCUACACAGUUCAGGCUGGCCUUGAAGUCACU